UCACUGGUGUUUUUCAACACCACCCUUUGUCGAAGAAAUGACGUC
rfam:Saprolegnia diclina VS20 unplaced genomic scaffold supercont1.41, whole genome shotgun sequence.